rnacentral:rRNA from 1 species
UUAAGCGACUAAGCGUACACGGUGGAUGCCCUGGCAGUCAGAGGCGAUGAAGGACGUGCUAAUCUGCGAUAAGCGUCGGUGAGGUGAUAUGAACCGUUAUAACCGGCGAUUUCCGAAUGGGGAAACCCAGUGUGUUUCGACACACUAUCAUUAACUGAAUCCAUAGGUUAAUGAGGCGAACCGGGGGAACUGAAACAUCUAAGUACCCCGAGGAAAAGAAAUCAACCGAGAUUCCCCCAGUAGCGGCGAGCGAACGGGGAGGAGCCCAGAGCCUGAAUCAGUGUGUGUGUUAGUGGAAGCGUCUGGAAAGGCGCGCGAUACAGGGUGACAGCCCCGUACACAAAAAUGCACAUAUUGUGAGCUCGAUGAGUAGGGCGGGACACGUGGUAUCCUGUCUGAAUAUGGGGGGACCAUCCUCCAAGGCUAAAUACUCCUGACUGACCGAUAGUGAACCAGUACCGUGAGGGAAAGGCGAAAAGAACCCCGGCGAGGGGAGUGAAAAAGAACCUGAAACCGUGUACGUACAAGCAGUGGGAGCCUCUUUAUGGGGUGACUGCGUACCUUUUGUAUAAUGGGUCAGCGACUUAUAUUCUGUAGCAAGGUUAACCGAAUAGGGGAGCCGAAGGGAAACCGAGUCUUAACUGGGCGUUAAGUUGCAGGGUAUAGACCCGAAACCCGGUGAUCUAGCCAUGGGCAGGUUGAAGGUUGGGUAACACUAACUGGAGGACCGAACCGACUAAUGUUGAAAAAUUAGCGGAUGACUUGUGGCUGGGGGUGAAAGGCCAAUCAAACCGGGAGAUAGCUGGUUCUCCCCGAAAGCUAUUUAGGUAGCGCCUCGUGAAUUCAUCUCCGGGGGUAGAGCACUGUUUCGGCAAGGGGGUCAUCCCGACUUACCAACCCGAUGCAAACUGCGAAUACCGGAGAAUGUUAUCACGGGAGGCACACGGCGGGUGCUAACGUCCGUCGUGAAGAGGGAAACAACCCAGACCGCCAGCUAAGGUCCCAAAGUCAUGGUUAAGUGGGAAACGAUGUGGGAAGGCCCAGACAGCCAGGAUGUUGGCUUAGAAGCAGCCAUCAUUUAAAGAAAGCGUAAUAGCUCACUGGUCGAGUCGGCCUGCGCGGAAGAUGUAACGGGGCUAAACCAUGCACCGAAGCUGCGGCAGCGACACUAUGUGUUGUUGGGUAGGGGAGCGUUCUGUAAGCCUGUGAAGGUGGCCUGUGAGGGUUGCUGGAGGUAUCAGAAGUGCGAAUGCUGACAUAAGUAACGAUAAAGCGGGUGAAAAGCCCGCUCGCCGGAAGACCAAGGGUUCCUGUCCAACGUUAAUCGGGGCAGGGUGAGUCGACCCCUAAGGCGAGGCCGAAAGGCGUAGUCGAUGGGAAACAGGUUAAUAUUCCUGUACUUGGUGUUACUGCGAAGGGGGGACGGAGAAGGCUAUGUUGGCCGGGCGACGGUUGUCCCGGUUUAAGCGUGUAGGCUGGUUUUCCAGGCAAAUCCGGAAAACCAAGGCUGAGGCGUGAUGACGAGGCACUACGGUGCUGAAGCGACAAAUGCCCUGCUUCCAGGAAAAGCCUCUAAGCAUCAGGUAACAUCAAAUCGUACCCCAAACCGACACAGGUGGUCAGGUAGAGAAUACCAAGGCGCUUGAGAGAACUCGGGUGAAGGAACUAGGCAAAAUGGUGCCGUAACUUCGGGAGAAGGCACGCUGAUAUGUAGGUGAAGCGACUUGCUCGUGGAGCUGAAAUCAGUCGAAGAUACCAGCUGGCUGCAACUGUUUAUUAAAAACACAGCACUGUGCAAACACGAAAGUGGACGUAUACGGUGUGACGCCUGCCCGGUGCCGGAAGGUUAAUUGAUGGGGUUAGCGGUAACGCGAAGCUCUUGAUCGAAGCCCCGGUAAACGGCGGCCGUAACUAUAACGGUCCUAAGGUAGCGAAAUUCCUUGUCGGGUAAGUUCCGACCUGCACGAAUGGCGUAAUGAUGGCCAGGCUGUCUCCACCCGAGACUCAGUGAAAUUGAACUCGCUGUGAAGAUGCAGUGUACCCGCGGCAAGACGGAAAGACCCCGUGAACCUUUACUAUAGCUUGACACUGAACAUUGAGCCUUGAUGUGUAGGAUAGGUGGGAGGCUUUGAAGUGUGGACGCCAGUCUGCAUGGAGCCGACCUUGAAAUACCACCCUUUAAUGUUUGAUGUUCUAACGUUGGCCCGUAAUCCGGGUUGCGGACAGUGUCUGGUGGGUAGUUUGACUGGGGCGGUCUCCUCCUAAAGAGUAACGGAGGAGCACGAAGGUUGGCUAAUCCUGGUCGGACAUCAGGAGGUUAGUGCAAUGGCAUAAGCCAGCUUGACUGCGAGCGUGACGGCGCGAGCAGGUGCGAAAGCAGGUCAUAGUGAUCCGGUGGUUCUGAAUGGAAGGGCCAUCGCUCAACGGAUAAAAGGUACUCCGGGGAUAACAGGCUGAUACCGCCCAAGAGUUCAUAUCGACGGCGGUGUUUGGCACCUCGAUGUCGGCUCAUCACAUCCUGGGGCUGAAGUAGGUCCCAAGGGUAUGGCUGUUCGCCAUUUAAAGUGGUACGCGAGCUGGGUUUAGAACGUCGUGAGACAGUUCGGUCCCUAUCUGCCGUGGGCGCUGGAGAACUGAGGGGGGCUGCUCCUAGUACGAGAGGACCGGAGUGGACGCAUCACUGGUGUUCGGGUUGUCAUGCCAAUGGCACUGCCCGGUAGCUAAAUGCGGAAGAGAUAAGUGCUGAAAGCAUCUAAGCACGAAACUUGCCCCGAGAUGAGUUCUCCCUGACUCCUUGAGAGUCCUGAAGGAACGUUGAAGACGACGACGUUGAUAGGCCGGGUGUGUAAGCGCAGCGAUGCGUUGAGCUAACCGGUACUAAUGAACCGUGAGGCUUAACCUU